UAUGAGUUGACAGUAACCACUCAGAGAUAGGAGACCAAAGCUCAGGAGAGGGGUAGAGCUGGAGGGAGAGGAGGCGGGGACAGUAAUUUUGACUCACUUACCCAUGCAAGUGCAGGAUGAAGACUUCAGAGAGAGACACAAAGGGAAUCGUGGGGAGCCUUGGGGGCGGAGAGUAGACGCCACCUGGACAUCACUGGGCUCCCUGUGUGUUAAAGCUUCCUGAGGUCAGAGGAAGAGGAAGCACAGAAAAUGGAGGAGGGACUUCUUACAGGAGAGAACCAGAACACCAAUCCUUUCCUGGACAUUUCAUAGAGAUGGAAUCACACCCUAUGUGGUCUUUGCAUCCGACUUCUUCACAAAAGUGUAAUGUUUUGGAGGUUUAUCCGUGCUAUAAUGAGGGAAAUGGAGCCGUCACCCAUCACUCACCCAAGGUUGCAGCAAGAGAUGGUGAAGGUCUGAUGGAAGGCAGUGACCACAAGCAUGGACAGGUAUUUGAGGGAGAAUCGGCAGCACUUGGAGGCAGCUGGCUGUGGGGAGGAGGGGAAGCUGAGGCUUCCCGCACAUCAUGGGUGGGAUGUAGGAGGAGACAGAGCAGGUUGGAGGGGAAGAUAAUGAGCUCAGGCUUCCAGCUGCCCAGAUGUCUCCAAGCCGCUCUCUUGAGAAAUGGUGUUUAUUACAUGACAAUGUCUAUAAUUUGGCUUCCGGCAUGACUCGAUAAUUAGCUUAAGUUAUCCUUCUUUGGCAUUUCAUUCAAAGCAAGGACACUCUUACAUUCAUUCUGAUGAGACCUGUUUUCUGUUCGAGGUACAGGAUGACAGUGAGCCUAGAGCCCUACAGUCUGUCUCCUUGCUCGAGUGGGUCAGAGACUGAAGCCAGUGGAUGGGCUGUCUGUCCUCUCAGCUAGCAUCUGUCUGCCUCUGGGGCUUAGAAGUGUGGAUGCCCCCUCUGAUAGGGAGCCGCCUGAGGGUGGGGUCCUGGAACCUGAACAUUCUGUGCCCAGCAGAAGUAUAGUCCAGAGAUCGGUUCCAAGAGCCACUGGGAGGUACAGCGAGGAGAAAGAUGGUUAACAGAAGUCCACUGGGAGGCACCUGCCGAGGUUGCCACAGGGAUGCUUAGGGCUGAAAGGGGGCUGCGUUUAGGGAAACUUUGAUUUAAGAGGUAUUUACAAGGCAGGUUUUAUGAGACUUGGGGGCUGAUUCACAGGAGGAGGGAGAGAGAUAAAGAUUCAAGAAGGACCCUCACGUUUCUUUCUCAGGAGAGAGAGGAGGCUAUUAACUGAAGUAGGACAAGAGGAGGGGUGGGCCCAGGGAUGAGGAGAUGUCAUUUCAGUUUUGGUCGCAGUUCCCAGGGACCGAAUAUAAGUGGAAGUGGAUGCGGUCUGAGGA